rnacentral:piRNA from 1 species
UGGUACUAGAGGUACUUCUUGAUCAGU